rnacentral:rRNA from 1 species
AAACUUUCAACAACCGGAUCUGCUAUGGUUGCAUCGACAUCGAUGAAGAACGCAGCAAAAUGACGAUAAGUAAUGUGAAUUGCAGAAUUCAGUGAAUCAUCGAAUCUUUGAACGCACAUUGCGCCCGCCAGUAUUCUGGCGGGCAUGCCUGUUCGAGCGUCAUUUCAACCCUCAA